rnacentral:rRNA from 1 species
UACGUAGGUGGCGAGCGUUGUCCGGAUUUACUGGGCGUAAAGGGAGCGUAGGCGGACUUUUAAGUGAGAUGUGAAAUACCCGGGCUCAACUUGGGUGCUGCAUUUCAAACUGGAAGUCUAGAGUGCAGGAGAGGAGAAUGGAAUUCCUAGUGUAGCGGUGAAAUGCGUAGAUAUUAGGAGGAACACCAGUGGCGAAGGCGGCUUUCUGGACUGUAACUGACACUGAGGCACGAAAGCGUGGGGAGCAAACAGGAUUAGAUACCCCCGUAGU